rnacentral:lncRNA from 10 species
GAACCACUCUGCCUGCUCUGCCGUCUCUGCCCAGAGAGGCUGAUCUUCAGGUUUGGGAGCCUAAAGAAUGCAACACUUCACUGUGACAGCCAACAGAACCUGGGAGGAGGCCACCCUACACUGGCUGCUUGCUGCCAAUGAGAGACCAGGGAAGGGGCUUCCAGGGGACCCCGUGGAGCCCAGGAAGCACAGGAGACCUGAAGACAAGACGUCUCCUGGGCUUCGUGUUCGCUUCAUCUCUACAAGCACUGAAAUCACUUUACAAAAGCAUUUUAAGGCCUAAGCUACCGUGAAGUUUGAUCCCAGAGUUUCAAAAGGCCGAGCAACUCACAAACACCUCUGUCUCCAGCAGGAGCCUAGAGUGAUAAUUUUGACAAGUUUGGGCUUGAGGUUUCAGAAGGGAGUGGAAUUAUUUUGCAUGUUGACGAAUUUGGUCGAGACUCAAGCACUAUAUCAGGGAAAGCUGCAUUCUGAAGGACUUUGCGUGAUAAAAGGCUUCUGCUCCCCAGCUACCAUCAGCGACUGUGCAGCCUCUGGUCAGCCAGGGGCUGUGGCGGCAGCUGCCCAGCAAGAUGCCACAUGUCCAGUGUGAUGAGCGCCAGGCCCAAAUCCCAAGUGUCACCCCAAUGUAGCGUGACACAGCAGCCGGGCCCUGCGGUCCUCCGAUGUUCCUCGCUGCAGGAUGUCCCUUCAUGUGGACUGACCUCGUGGAGUGGAGUGGAUGUGGGUGGCAAGGGUGUGCUGUGAGAAGGUGGCCAUCUGCAAGGCAGGAAGAGAGCCCUCACUAGAAACUGAACCUGCAAGGACAUUGAUCUUAGACUUUCCAGCCUCCAGAACUGUGAGAAAAUAAAGUUCUCUCAUUUGAG